rnacentral:tRNA from 1 species
ACCUGAGUGGCUCAGUUGGUUAAGCAUCUGACUUUGACUCAGGUCACGAUCUCACGGUUCGUGGGUUCAAGCCCCACAUCGGGCU